CGGGAUGUAGCUCAGUUGGCUAGAGUGCGUCGUUCGGGACGACGAGGUCGCUGGUUCGAGUCCAGUCAUCCCGACCA
rnacentral:tRNA from 1 species